rnacentral:rRNA from 1 species
GAUGAACGCUGGCGGCGUGCCUAAUACAUGCAAGUCGAGCGAACGGACGCGAAGCUUGCUUCUCUGUUGUUAGCGGCGGACGGGUGAGUAACACGUGGAUAAUCUACCUAUAAGACUGGGAUAACUUCGGGAAACCGGAGCUUAUACCGUAUGAUCUUUUGAAGCGCAGGGUUCAAAAGUGAAAGUCGGUCUUGCUGGCACUUAUAGAUGGAUCCCAGCUUCAUUGGCUAGUUGGUAAGGUCAAGGGUUACCAAGGGAACGAUGCAUAGGCGACCUGAGGGGGUGAUCGGCCACACUGGAACUGAGACACGGUCCAGACUCCUACGGGAGGCAGCAGUAGGGAAUCUUCCGCAAUGGGCGAAAGCCUGACGGAGCAACGCCGCGUGAGUGAUGAAGGUCUUCGGAUCGUAAAACUCUGUUAUUAGGGAAGAACAUAUGUGUAAGUAACUGUGCACAUCUUGACGGUACCUAAUCAGAAAGCCACGGCUAACUACGUG